GCCGUAGCUCAGUGGCAGAGCAUCUGCUCUGCAUGUCGAAGGUCCCAGGUUUAAUCCCUGGCAUCUCCA